rnacentral:snRNA from 1 species
GUGCUCACUUUGGUAGCACAUAUACUAAAAUUGGAACGAUACAGAGAAGAUUAGCAUGGCCCCUGCACAAGGAUGACAUGCAAAUUCAUGAGGCGUUCCAUAUUUUU